rnacentral:rRNA from 1 species
AAGCGGAGGAAAAGAAACUAACAAGGAUUCCCCUAGUAACGGCGAGUGAAGCGGGAAGAGCUCAAAUUUGAAAGCUGGCGUCUUCGACGUCCGCAUUGUAAUCUCGAGAAGUGUUUUCCGUGUUGGACCAUGUACAAGUUCCUUGGAACAGGACGUCAUAGAGGGUGAGAAUCCCGUACUUGACAUGGAUGCCCAAUGCUUUGUGAUACGCUCUCCACGAGUCGAGUUGUUUGGGAAUGCAGCUCAAAAUGGGUGGUAAAUUCCAUCUAAAGCUAAAUAUUGGGGAGAGACCGAUAGCGAACAAGUACCGUGAGGGAAAGAUGAAAAGCACUUUGGAAAGAGAGUUAAACAGUACGUGAAAUUGUCGAAAGGGAAGCGCUUGAAGUCAGACAUGCUGCUGAGACUCAGCCUUGGUUUUCCUUGGUGUAUUUCUCAGUUGGCAGGCCAGCAUCAGUUUUGGCUGUUGGAUAAGGGUAGGAGGAAUGUGGCAUCCUCGGAUGUGUUAUAGCCUCUUACUGGAUACAACGGCUGGGACUGAGGAACGCAGUGUGCCUUCGGGCGGGUCUUCGGACACCUUCACACUUAGGAUGCUGGCGUAAUGGCUUUAAGCGACCCGUCUUGA